rnacentral:rRNA from 1 species
AUUGAACGCUGGCGGCAUGCGUUACACAUGCAAGUCGAACGGUAACAGGUCUUCGGAUGCUGACGAGUGGCGAACGGGUGAGUAAUACAUCGGAACGUGCCCGAUCGUGGGGGAUAACGAGGCGAAAGCUUUGCUAAUACCGCAUACGAUCUACGGAUGAAAGCGGGGGAUCUUCGGACCUCGCGCGGACGGAGCGGCCGAUGGCAGAUUAGGUAGUUGGUGGGAUAAAAGCUUACCAAGCCGACGAUCUGUAGCUGGUCUGAGAGGAUGAUCAGCCACACUGGGACUGAGACACGGCCCAGACUCCUACGGGAGGCAGCAGUGGGGAAUUUUGGACAAUGGGCGAAAGCCUGAUCCAGCCAUGCCGCGUGCAGGAUGAAGGCCUUCGGGUUGUAAACUGCUUUUGUACGGAACGAAAAGCCUCUUUCUAAUAAAGAGGGGUCAUGACGGUACCGUAAGAAUAAGCACCGGCUAACUACGUG